rnacentral:rRNA from 1 species
UUCGAGUGCCUCGAGCGUUAUCCGGAAUUAUUGGGCGUAAAGGGUGUGUAGGCGGUUAUGUUAGUCUUCUGUGAAAUUCUUCGGCCUAACCGGGGGUCCGCAGGGGAAACGGCAUGACUUGAGGAUGCGAGAGGUGAAUGGAACUCAUAGUGUAGGGGUGAAAUCCGUUGAUAUUAUGGGGAACACCAAAAGCGAAGGCAAUUCACUGGCGCACUCCUGACGCUGAAACACGAAAGCGUGGGUAGCGAAUGGG